UUAUAUGAGUUCAAUUCCAAACACUCAAAACUUAUUGUUGAAUGGAAUGAGGUAUUUUGAGUGUUUGGAAUUGAACUCGUAUAC
rnacentral:pre_miRNA from 1 species